ensembl:lncRNA
GUCCAGAUAAAAUUCUGGAGAGACACUGAGCAUCCAGAAGGGUCCCAAGGACAUCAAUCUUUCCACCCAUGGGCAGUGCUCAAGUGCCCUCUUUUCUGAAGUGUUUUUAUUUUUUCCUUUUGGAGAGCAGCUCAUCCUGCCUGUCAGUAGAGCAAGACUGACCUUGUGGCCCUCACCACCCCUGACUCCCCGACUCCCAACAGGCUAUGUCCUUCAUUUAGCAGAACUCUAAACACUACCUUCUCCCUUCUAAUGAGAAGGAGGCUCGGCUCUGACAGACCUGGAGCACCUGGGUAAGUGCCAUUCACAGAAGGGGAAGACCCUCAAUAGCUCACUUUUUUUUUUUUUUUCCAGACCACAUAUGGGAAGCAAGACCAGCAUCAGGAAGGUUCUAGAACUCACUUUACCACCUCCAGAAUUCUCUCUUCUCCAAAUUCAUUCUCAAGACUUCACCACUGCACAGAGGAGGAAUAUGCUGAGGUUGUGUCUGGGUCCAGUCCCCACCCCACAGCCAGCUGAGGGACCACUAGGAACCACUGUGAGAAUCAGGAAGAAUGCUCCUUCCUCUGCACAGAUCCACUUCUGUGCAAGGCCACUCAAGAUUUGGAGGAGAAGCUGGGACUGGCCAUCAGCCCCCACUUCACCUCUGUCAACCCAACACUUGGGGACCAUGAUAUCACACUUCCAAAGUCCUUACCCCACGCGGGCCCCUAAUGUUUAAUGUGAGUUCCUUAUAGUCCCACAGAACCUCUCACUAAAUACUCACCCCAUUUGAAUACCUGAGUCUCUGUGCCUGGAAUCUCAUUUCCCUACUCUACCCAGUGAACAUCUAUUCAUCCUUCAGAACCCAACUAGAUGUGCCCUCCUCUGUGAAGCCCCUGCCUGUCCCCCACCCCCUGCAAAGCUAGUAGCACCACCUCAGAGCCUAAUCCUACCUGUUCCCCAGAGUUCAUGGGUUGGUCCCAGAAUCCUGCUACCUAGAACCCACUGUCCCACCCCAACCCCAAAGGCAGAAUACGCCAUCAAAUCCUGUAUGACUUGUCCCCUAACUUGCCAGCCCCUCUGGAACCCCACUGGGAUUCUCCCCUCCCACAACCUUACAGAUUUAAGGCAGAAUGGGAAACUGGAAAUCCAAGUAGCCCAGAAGCUCCCCACCCCCACUCUGCCCUCACAGGAGCUGGUCCUGACCGAAGAUUCCCAGCACAUCUGGUUGUACUUAAAUCAUCCAGCACUGGACUGGGCUGCCUGGGCAGGUUCCCGCUUCUCUCCCUCCUGCCCUUGACUCCUCCCCUUCCUAGCCCAGCCUGCCAGCUCUCUCCUCCAGGAGGCCUUCCCUGACUGGCCUAGCCUCUGUACCUACACCCUUGACUAUCUCUCUGGGUUGAGGGUCUAGAGGGUGCACGCUCAGCAAGGCUUGGUGUGUGGGCCCCCAUCCUGCCUAAGCACCGAUCCUGUAUAGAAACCAUCCCUCCAGACAGGGAGGGGAGCCAACCAAGUUCCUCCCCUCUGCUCCCUUAAUCUCUAGGGUGGUUGCCCUCAGCAUCUGGUGGUGUAGCAGGGAGGGAAUCGGUUCCUUCAGUGCCUUGGUUCAGAUAGACAGCCAGCAGAUCCUGCUGCCGUCAUUGUCCAAAAGUCUCAUAAAAUAUUACGAAAGGGGAAGAGCCUGACAUGGUGGUGUACACACCUCUAGCCGCAGCACCCAAGAGAUUCCUUCAGCCCAGGGGUUUGUGCUUCGUGGUCACCAUGGACAACAUAGGAAAAAAAAGAAAGAAAGAAAGGAGGUGGGGAGGGGUAAUAAAUGCAGAUAAUAUAGCA